UACGAAGGGGGCUAGCGUUGCUCGGAAUCACUGGGCGUAAAGGGCGCGUAGGCGGCCUGCUAAGUCGAACGUGAAAUCCCCGGGCUCAACCCGGGAACUGCGUCCGAUACUGGUUGGCUUGAAUCCGGGAGAGGGAUGUGGAAUUCCAGGUGUAGCGGUGAAAUGCGUAGAUAUCGAGAGGAACACCUGCGGCGAAGGCGGGUAGCUGGGCCGACACUGACUGAGGCGCGAAAGCCAGGGGAGCGAACGGG
rnacentral:rRNA from 1 species